GACGAACGCUGGCGGCGUGCUUAACACAUGCAAGUCGAACGGAAAGGCCCUGCUUUUGUGGGGUGCUCGAGUGGCGAACGGGUGAGUAACACGUGAGUAACCUGCCCUUGACUUUGGGAUAACUUCAGGAAACUGGGGCUAAUACCGGAUAGGAUCUCCUGCUGCAUGGUGGGGGUUGGAAAGUUUCGGCGGUUGGGGAUGGACUCGCGGCUUAUCAGCUUGUUGGUGGGGUAGUGGCUUACCAAGGCUUUGACGGGUAGCCGGCCUGAGAGGGUGACCGGCGACAUUGGGACUGAGAUACGGCCCAGAGUCGUACGGGAGGCAGCAGGGGGGAAUAUUGCACAAUGGGCGGAAGCCUGAGGCAGAAACGCCGCGUGCGGGAUGACGGCCUUCGGGGUGUAAACAGCUUUCGCCUGUGACGAAGCGUGAGUGACGGUAAUGGGUAAAGAAGCACCGGCUAACUACGUG
rnacentral:rRNA from 1 species